UACGAAGGGGGCUAGCGUUGUUCGGAAUUACUGGGCGUAAAGCGCGCGCAGGCGGUCUUCCAAGUCAGUGGUGAAAGCCCGGAGCUCAACUUCGGAACUGCCAUUGAAACUGUAAGACUUGAGUACGAGAGAGGUGAGUGGAAUUCCCAGUGUAGAGGUGAAAUUCGUAGAUAUUGGGAAGAACACCGGUGGCGAAGGCGGCUCACUGGCUCGUAACUGACGCUCAGGCGCGACAGCGUGGGGAUCAAACAGG
rnacentral:rRNA from 1 species